rnacentral:lncRNA from 1 species
AUUGUUUUAGUUAAUAUCACCACUUGAUAGAUCCCCAAAAGCUACUCGUCGAUUUGUCGUGCUUAAAGUCCCUCUAACUCGCCGAUUCCAGAGUGAAAGAGUUCACUUCCAACUCGCCGAUUCCAGAGUGAAAGAGUUCACUUCCAACUCGCCGAUUCCGCCGUGAAAUCGCCGAUUUAAAGUGAGCCAAGUUCCAAUUCGCCGAUUACUCGCCGAUUUAAAGACUCCAAUCGACGAUCACACAGAUUUUGAGUAGAUUUUAAGUGGGUUCAAUAGUGUGUAUUUUGAGUGGUUAUUCACUCCCAAUAGCUUCUUUCCCGCCGAAUUAAUACAGGAAUCGCCGAUACCCUAUCCCACUCGCCGAUAGCCUUCCCACACUCGCCGAUAGCCCCCCCCAACUCGCCGAUAUAAGAAUGGGGAUUCCUUACGGAAUCGACCCUAGUCUGUCUGGGCAGUUGGAAGGGUUCUCGUACUCUCGCCGAGUCUCCUUUCCACUCGCCGAUCCAAAUUUGGGGAUCCCUUGUGGGAUCAACCCUAAUCUGUCUUGGCGGCUGGGGGAGCUUCUCGUUGGCCGGAGGAUAG